CUUUUUUUUUUUAUCCAGUCGAUUUUGAGACAAGCUGGAGCUAGCUUCUUUGAUUCGUAUUUAACAGGAGCUGAUCUUUCAGAUGCAGAUCUUAGAGGCGCAGAUUUCUCAAUAGCAAACGUAGCAAAGGGGAGAAAAUCCUUCAAAUUAUCAAUCACUACAUGAUUAUUAAAAACGAAUUUAAUUGACGCCCUUUUUCUCGAAUUUUUACAGGCGAAUUUGACAAAUGCUAACUUGGAAGGAGCACUGGUUACAGGGAACACAUCAUACAAAGAAUCAAUCAUAACAGGCGCAGGGUGAAUUCUGUAACAGGCAAUGAAACACGAGAGACAUUAUUUUGCAAGUAGCAUGGCUUGUUGUUAUUUAGUGGUCAGGUUCUUGGGCAGCAUCAAUCAGUAGGGAUAGCGGGGAGCUCCCAAGUCAGCUUAAAGAAAAUAUGAUUUCGUCUGGUGGUCGUUCAAGAGCAAUUUAUUUUAUUACUAAUAAUUUUUUUGUGCAUAUUUACUUUAAUAAUUAGUUAUUUUGAUCCAUAUCUAAUUAUAUAUGAUAGUAUAUGUCUCCUAUCUCGAACUUUUUUGUACCUUGACUUUGUCAUAUUUCUGCAGGGGAUGGAUUCUUUGUUUUGGGGUCUUAGUGUCAUAUCUGUAUGCAUCAUGAUGUGUGGUUCUUGUGGUGGGAGGGUUUUUUAGGGGUGUGUGUGUAAGUUUUAUGUUUGUUGGACUUCUUUGUCGCUUCUGUUAUUAUUUGGAUGUGUUUUACUGGUGAUCUGCUAUGUUUUAGGGAUUCUGGACAUUUUUACCCCCUUGCUCUUUUUCAGCUGGGGUGUCUACAGUUGUGGAAUUUUUUUGCAGUGGUUUUGGUUGGUGAAUUUGGUUUUGCCUCUGUUGCUUUCCUGCUCUGUGUUAGUUUGGUUGUAUCAACUCAUGGUGGUUUGUUGGCUUAUUCUCCUGGUUUGCUUUCGUGGCUGGCUGCUUUGGACUAUUUUUGUUUGUGUUUUAUAAUUGAGAAUCGUAUUAUUAUUUAUUUUUUGUUUCUUUGUAUAGUUUUGUACUAUUUUUGUUUGAGUUUUUUUUCUGAUCAGAUGUGCUUUGAUCUUAGUUUCUGAUGGUUUAUACUUGUGUAUAGUUUAGUACUAUUUUUGUUUGAGUCUUUUGUAAUGGUUGUUACAUGAAGAUCUGACAGGAAAGUUCCGACCUUUGAGCAUUAGAUUUUUGGAUAUGGAGGGAAAGGAUUGUUGUUUCUAGAUGAAAUGUAUUUCAGAUCUAGAUCUGAAUGUAGAAUGAUUUUAAAAUGGGUUUCCUUAUUUGCAUCUGAGAUUUCUUUCUUUGACUUAUCUAAAUUUUUUGUUAUAUUUG